rnacentral:tRNA from 5 species
GGUCUAUUGGCCCAAUGGAAAGGCGUCUGACUACGAAUCAGGAGAUUGCAGGUUCGAGCCCUGCAUAGAUCA